CUUCAUUUCUUGGGAUAGUAUCCUGCAGUGACACAGGUGAUCAGUGAUGCACAAGACAGGAUCAGCAAUGCUGGUUUUGAUACCACAAGUACUUAACAUUGUGAUUGAAAUUGUGAAGACUUUCUCCGGAACAGAUUUAUUGCAGGACAAUUGCAUUAUUUCUUUGAACUUCAAAACAGAAGAAGAACAGAUGUCAAAUCAUAUCAGCAGCCAGAUAAGUACAAUCUUAAUUGCAAUAUCGAUAUGGAACAAUUUUAAAGCUUUAUGGCUGUAUAGUCUUUUGUGCUAACAUGUGGAUCAGAGUAACACACAAAGGAGUUGGGCUACAGACCCAGAACAAUAUUCCAACAUUUCUGUUCAGUAAUGAUUCUUAGUUGCAG
rnacentral:lncRNA from 12 species